rnacentral:rRNA from 1 species
CUGACCUGAGAUCAGACAAGGCUACCCGCUGAACUUAGAUUUACUAUUAAGCCAA